AUUGAACGCUGGCGGAAUGCUUUACACAUGCAAGUCGAACGGCAGCACGGGGGCAACCCUGGUGGCGAGUGGCGAACGGGUGAGUAAUACAUCGGAACGUGCCCAGUCGUGGGGGAUAACGUAGCGAAAGUUACGCUAAUACCGCAUACGAUCUACGGAUGAAAGCGGGGGACCGUAAGGCCUCGCGCGAUUGGAGCGGCCGAUGUCAGAUUAGGUAGUUGGUGAGGUAAAGGCUCACCAAGCCGACGAUCUGUAGCUGGUCUGAGAGGACGACCAACCACACUGGGACUGAGACACGGCCCAGACUCCUACGGGAGGCAGCAGUGGGGAAUUUUGGACAAUGGGCGCAAGCCUGAUCCAGCCAUUCCGCGUGCAGGACGAAGGCCUUCGGGUUGUAAACUGCUUUUGUACGGAACGAAGAGGCUCUGGUUAAUACCUGGGGCUCAUGACGGUACCGUAAGAAUAAGCACCGGCUAACUACGUGCCAGCAGCCGCGGUAA
rnacentral:rRNA from 1 species